UUUUUUUUACCUUGUUUGUACCAAUUAACUAAGUAAACAUCCUUUAGAUUAAUUUCAACUAAAAAAUAUAUUAUCAUAGAGUGGAAAUAAAAACAAAAUCACACCACAACAAUUGUAAUACAUAUUACAACAGCCACAAUGUCCAUAAUUGCAAUGCUAGCUAAGAACACAUCUCGACCGUAACCACAAUUUAAAACAUUUUAUGUAGUAUGCACAUCUCACUUGGUGCUUGUCUUCUUACUAGUAAUUUCCUCAUUAUUAAGGAAAUCAAGCAAUACAGUACUCUUACAUUUGGGACAUUUGGGAUCAACUUCUGGUAACAUAACAUACAUAAGACAUCGAGUACAACCGACGAGAAGCAUGGCCUUGGUCUCUUCCGCAAUGUUACAAGACACACAUGAUCCCUCCGACGAAUGAACAACAAAUUCUGUGGAGAAAGAUUCUGGUGAUUGUGGUGAGGUUGCCGCCGUCCCUGGUGGAGAUAAACUCAGCCCCAUUCCUAACGUUGGACUCCUUUCUCUUUUACUCAUCUUAGGUAAUUUUAAAAUUUCUAACAUAUAUGUUCAAAAUAACACUACAUGCACAUAUAUAGGAUACAUAUUUGAUGGUAAGAAAUUUAAUUUAAUUAAAUUGAAUUAAAUGGGUUGUUCACCUAAAGGUGUUCACCUAAAGUUAGAACUAGCUAACACAUUAUAAA
rnacentral:lncRNA from 1 species